AUUGAACGCUGGCGGCAUGCUUUACACAUGCAAGUCGAACGGCAGCGCGGGCUUCUUCCUCGCGUCGCGUUGCCAACGGGUGAGUAAUUCAUCCGAACGUGCCCAGCAGUUGGGGCUAGCCUGGCGAAAGCCGGAUUAAUACCGCACACGAUCUGAUGGUGAAAGCGGGGGAUCGAAAGUCCUCGCGCUUUUUGAGCGCACUUUGUCGGAUUAGCUAGUUGGUUAGGUAAAGGCUUACCAAGGCGACGAUCCGUAGCUGGUCUGAGAGGACGACCGGCCACACUGGAACUGAGACACGGUCCAGACUCCUACGGGAGGCAGCAGUGGGGAAUUUUGGACAAUGGGGGCAACCCUGACCCAGCAAUGCCGCGUGAGGGAAGAAGGCCUUCGGGUUGUAAACCGCUUUUGUUCGGGAAGAAAUACUCUGGGCUAAUACACCGAGGGGAUGACGGUACCGGAAGAAUAAGCAACGGCUAACUACGUG
rnacentral:rRNA from 1 species